UUGUUUCUUAAGUUCUUUUCUCCUUUUGCCAUCGUUUUCAAUCGGUUUUGAUUCUACUGCUUCCGUUUGGUCAGUUUCAAUCUGUAGAGGUAAGGUCUUAUCGUUUUUAUUCAUUUUUCUUGUUGAAAGUGUUCGUUGGGCGUUUGGGAUGUUGGAAUAUCGAGGUUGUGGUGCGAAAAUUCAUGUGUUAUGUUAACUAAUUAAUUCGAUACGUGUUAGGGGAAGAUUGAGAGACGAUUGAUGUUCCUCCAACGAUGUACCGAAAGCCUCGUGGUUGUAUUCACAUCAAAAUCGAAUCAGGUGUAAGGCAAAACUCAAAAAAGCGAACGAAAGAAAGUCAAAAACUAGUCUGUCGACGCCAUACGGUCGUGUGCCAGACCGUGUGUGACACACAACCGUGUACCAGACCGUGUGUGUCACACGGUGUGUAAGUUUCUUUUUCUAUUAAAUAAAGCCAUUAGUUUAUUUUAUACAA